rnacentral:lncRNA from 1 species
CUAUAGCAGAUGGAUUGCCUGAAUCAUAGACUAUGUGGAGACCCCUAGCUUUGCCAUCCUCAUCAACGGUGCUCCGAUAGAUUUCUUUCAAUCGAUUGGCGAUCUUCGCCAAGGGUGCCCUCUUCCCUCUUGUUUAUUUUGUGUGCUGAUGCUUUCUCCUGCACUCUCUGGUGGGCUGUCCAGCGGACAGAGCAUAAGCCC